ACGGUUGCAGCGAGCUUGAAAGAUAGAUUUUUCGAGACUAAGUUGGAACUGGAAGGAGAAGAUGAGCCAAUUGUAGUGUACGACACGAUCAACACCUUUGAGACACAAGAUUCUUUCUACCCACUUUUGAGAGAAAAAGCGCCCGCUGAAUUAAUAAGAAAACGUGAACUCAUCGCUGAUUGUAGGAGCAAAAGUCCCCCAAUCUCGUCUAACGAUGAGAACGACGAAGGAAAAGAUGUUAUCUUCCCAUUCUCAAAAAUCAAACUCUUGGACAAAGCGAUUAAAGAGAGAGCGAAAGGCGCAAUCGUAUUGGGAAAGAAACGUUAUGACUUCAAUGAGACGAAAAAGUUACAGUUUCCUAUCGCUUCUAUAUUUUUGGACAAAGUAAAGAAAGCUAAACUAGAGGAGUACUAUAGAAAAUAUCCAAGCAAACGUUCAGUCAAAAUCCACAAGACGGAAGAAAUUCCACGAGAAGAGGGAUGGGUUCCAACUGUUGCUAAAUUGUCGUCAAAGGGUCCUAAUUGUGAUAAGUUCCUAGCAAACAUUCUAAAGCCCGAUAUAGCUGCUCCAGGGUUAGAC